AUGUAUGUAUGUGUGUAUGUAUGCAUGCAUGCAUGCAUUUAUUUUUAGU
rnacentral:miRNA from 10 species